UGGGGAAUAUUGCGCAAUGGAGGAAACUCUGACGCAGCAACGCCGCGUGAAGGAUGAAGGCUUUCGGGUUGUAAACUUCUUUGAUCGGGGACGAAAAUGACGGUACCCGAAGAACAAGCCACGGCUAACUACGUGCCAGCAGCCGCGGUAAUACGUAGGUGGCAAGCGUUGUCCGGAAUUACUGGGUGUAAAGGGCGUGUAGGCGGGAAGACAAGUCAGAUGUGAAAGCCCAUGGCUUAACUGUGGAACCGCAUCUGAAACUGUUUUUCUUGAGUACUGGAGAGGAAAGUGGAAUUCCCAGUGUAGCGGUGAAAUGCGUAGAGAUUGGGAGGAACACCAGUGGCGAAGGCGGCUUUCUGGACAGUAACUGACGCUGAGGCGCGAAAGCGUGGGGAGCAAACAGG
rnacentral:rRNA from 2 species